CCUUCCGCCCUGACUUCCCUCCUCCCUCCGGGACCCGGGAGGGUCGCCCCCCACGCUAGCGUGGAGCUGACGGGCGGAGCCUGCGCGGUGAGAGGAGCCUGACAGUGGUCACUGCGCAGGCGCCGGGCAGCUCGCCGCACUCCCGCUGCGUUUUUCCAAAAGUUGCAGUCCAGCGGGUGGACCACCAUCCAGCGCAGCUGCACACAACAGAGAAGGGAAAAGAAAACUCCCCAGGGGCUCCGCUGGCUUCUCUGAAAGUGACAGAGAUGCUUUCCCACUAGAAGCCCGGAAGCCUCCUCCUUUGCAAUUGGAUGAGGGCUGCAGUGAGCACCACUCAUUCUUAUAAAGCCCCCUGCUAGGAAGAGCCAGUUGUGUUUGGGCCCGCGGUGCCUGGCCAUCCCCAUCCAGGCUGGAUUCUGCAGAGGCAUUCAGGCUUCAGGAUGGAUAAUGAACUUUCAAAUAGGAAAGAGAUGGAAAAUCAUCAAAAUUACCAUAAACUGUACUGCCAACUGAAUGCGUGUUUCUUUGUAGCAUAUGCAGAGUCGAGGACAGUUAUAUUCCCACAUUAUACAGCCUGCUAACCUAUUGUCUUAAUCCAGGUGACUCUUGAAAGCAGAGCCUGAGACAAAGGUAGAUGCAUACUCUAUUUGGGAUUGUGAUUCCAGGGAGCAGGAAUGAAAGAGAAAGGAGUGAACAGGGGUAAAAUGGAAAGAAAAUCCAGACAAAACAGGUAGUGUUAUGGAGUAGUCCACCACGGUUAAUGGGUACUUCGCACAUGCAGAUCCUUCUAGAGAUUCUUACUCAGUUUUGUCUCCAGAACUGCCCACCCCUGAAGGAUGAAAGGGAGAAGCAUUUCUCACUCCACAGCCAUCUCUUCCUUGCUGAGGGCCGCUCCCAUAGGGUGUUAACUUCUCCAUCCCUGUGGGCUGCAAAGAUGGAAGAGCCUUCGGGUACCAGAAUAUCAUACAUCGCCACACCAGAGGAGCCUUGGGACUGGAAGGUAGAUUCUUGGUGCAUACCUGAAGCGAAGCACUAUCAGCACCAAGCAGAGCGAAACCUCCUCCAAACUAUUCACCAGAGCUGUGGCUGGAAUUGGAGGUUACAGAGAGAUGUGGAACAGGCAUCUCAUAAGUCUAUAGAAGGUGUUCUUAGCCUUGUCUAAAUCUGUAUCUUCCUUUCUAUAAUCAAAUUUUCAGUUUCCAGCAUCUAGGUGGUUCAUUCGGUUAAGUGUCUGCCUUCAGCUUAGGUCAUGAUCUUGGGGCCAUGGGAUCAAGCCCUGCAUCAGGCUCUGUGUUCAGCAUGGAGUCUGCUUGUCCCUCUCCUCCCUGGCUCACAUGUACUCUCUCUCUUUCUGUCUCUCAAACAAAUAAAUAAAAUCUUAAAAAAAAAAAAAAGUCCAGAACAAGGUUAGCAAAAGGGUUAAAUUAGGAAGGUUAAAUGUAUUAGAAGAUGUAUGUUAAUAAUCGUUCUAACCUGGAGUGAUGUUGAUUAGAAAUUGAUAUGAGAACUUGGAAGAUUAAAAAAUGAUUGUACUUGAAAAAUUGGACCAUUGGAUAGAGAUAUUAGACUUUGCUGAAACUCAUGUAAUCUCAGAAACAAUCAUGAAUUGUUUGGGGGGAAAUGGAAAAAUAAAAUUAACCAUUUCUGUGUC